rnacentral:misc_RNA from 1 species
UGACAGUCAUUAUUCAGAGCGAAGUAUCACCAGACAGACAGGAGUGUGUUGGUACAUAUUAACGGUAUGGAUGAUUACGAAAUUGAUGGAGUAGGUGUCAGUGAAACUUCAACUACGGAGGUUGAAGUUGCUAAUGGUAACGAAGCGUGUCAUUACCCCGAAAAGGACACGACAGAUGGAUUAUGGUGUGUCUCACAUAGAAAACCGCUCGAUGAAGCAGAUACUGGGUACAUGAAUCCAAGGGAGCCUCGGAGUGCUGUAGACGAAGUCCCACGCCGUUCUGAACUUAGAUUGAAACAUGCACAACAGGAUACAAUGGAGGGGGACAAAUUAGGAGGAGCGCUCGUAACAUACAAACUAGAGCAAGGGGAAUACUUCCAUCACUUUGAAGAAUUUGGAUUAUUCGAGAAAUCGCUGUUAAGAGAUUCUCUUUACGUGAAACAAAACGAUCAGCUGGUUACACUCGAUGGCUGGACGGUGAACGAAAUGGAUCACAGCUCGGUCGUUACGCUGUUCCUUAACUUAGAGAUAGGAAAAGAACAUGUGAUGCUGGUAGCCAAUCAUCAAAUUUCUACUGAUUCUUUCCGGCAAAUUACAUUCUCAUUACAUGGUUUCAUAACAGAAGAACAUGAGGAUGAGGAAAAGCCAGAGGAAAUGCUUCGGAUAGAGAACUUUACACUAGCGGUUAUGCCAUUGAAUGAUAUCACAGACGAGGUGAACAUUUCUCUGGAGAAUGAGGAGCAUAUCUACCUGAAUAAAGACCUCCUCUUUGUCUCCACUAGGUCUGUUGAUACAGACAGGUCAGUUCGAUUCAUAAGAAAACGACGUCAAAAAUGGGUUGGCUCACACGUUCAAAUAACCUCAACAUUUAAACAAAAGGACGCUGGAUUUGUAGCGAUUGACGAAAAAGGAAAUGUGGCUAUGCUCCCUCAAUUUCAACAAAAUGCUGUUUUCAUAGCCAAGUACAAUAACUGGGGCAUAUGGUCUAUUAAGUCCAAAUAUUGCGGUCAUUUUCUUGCCGAGCAGAAUAGAAGACUUUGCUCUAUUCCUAAUGACCGGGAUGGCUAUUUCGUCAUCAAACCUUCUAACUGCAGAAAUUGUCUCUGAAUAUAUACUCCACGACACUGAAUGGAGGACUGGCUAUCGACGCACAACAACUUUUACAUAAACUGUUUUAUUGAUAAUUGUAUAUAUUACAUUGCUUAUGCAUAUGAUAUGGCAUAUGUUAGGGAUGACCAUUUCUACAUCAACAGUUUGUCGUUAUAGGACCAUAGCAGCAUUGGCGAAAAUAUUAAUUUCGUAAAAUGUUACCUAUCAAUGACCUAUCAAUGAACUUUUAGGUGAAGUACUAAAGAUUUUUUUAUAACAUUUAUAUUGCAAGUAUUUAUUAACUCCUGUAAUCGGUGUUCUGCUCGAAUUUCUUUUCGUUAUCGCAUCUGCAUGUAGUUUUUUAACUCAGUUUUGCAGUUUGUCACAUAUAAACUCCCAUUGAUGGGUUGAAUAUAAUGACAUGUUUUGUAGGACAAGAACAUAUUAAAAUACGGUUAUUUCGUGUGUAUGUUUACACGAAGGAAAUAGAGUCAGCAGAUUGCUCGCGGGAUAUCUACUUCAUAAAAACUAUUAAAUGUAAUGUUUAUCAGGUAUAAUUCCAACGUCAGAUAUAUACGAACUCUCCUCUGUACUUAUCUGGAUAUGUUACAAUGUUAUACGUUUGAUUUGAUAUAAUUAUGGAUUGUUUUACGGUACUUCCUUGAUAAAGUUAUAUUUCCAUUCCCAGAACUGCUAGACACUUAACUCUGAUGUAAAUAGUGAUGGCACUCCCAGUACUGCUAAACACUCAACUCUGAUGUAAACAGUCACGCCACUCCCAUUACUGCUAAACACUGAACUCUGAUGUAAACAGUCACGCCACUCCCAGUACUGCUAAACAGUAAACUCUGAUGUAAACAGUAACGGCACUCCCAGUGCUGCUAAACAAUAAACCCUGAUGUAAACAGUAAUGAUACUCUCAGUACUGCUAAACACUCAACCCUGAUGUAAACAGUAAUGACACUCUCAGUACUGCUAAACACUCAAAUCUGAUGUAAACAGUCACGCCACUCCCAGUACUGCUAAACACACAACUCUGAUGUAAACAGUCAUGCCACUCCAAGUACUGCUAAACACUCAACUCUGAUGUAAACAGUCACGCCACUCCCAGUACUGCUAAACACACAACUCUGAUGUAAACAGUCAUGUCACUUCAAGUACUGCUAAACACUCAACUUUGAUGUAAAUAGUAAUGGCACUCUCAGUACUGCUAAACACUCAACUCUGAUGUAAACAGUAAUGACACUCUUAGUACUGCUAAACACUUAACUCUGAUGUAAACAGUAAUGACACUCCCAGUACUACUAAACACUUAACUCUGAUGUCAACAGUAAUUACACUCCCAGUCCUGCUAAACACUCAACUCUGAUGUAAAGAGUAAUGACAUUCUCAGUACUGCUAAACACUUAACUCUGAUGUAAACAGUCAAGUCACUUCAAGUACUGCUAAACACUCAACUUUGAUGUAAACAGUAAUGACACUCCCAGUACUGCUAAACACUCAACUCUGAUGUAAACAGUAAUGACACUCCAAGUACUGCUAAACACUCAACUCUGAUGUAAAUAGUCAUGACACUCCCAGUACUGCUAAACACUCAACCCUGAUGUAAAACAGUCAUCACUCUCCCAGUACUGCUAAACACUCAACUCUGAUGUAAACAGUAAUGACACCCCCAGUGCUACUAAACACUCAACUCUGAUGUAAACAGUCAUGACACUCCCAGUACUGCUAAACACUUAACUUUGAUGUAAACAAUAAUGGCACUCCGAGUACUGCUAAUUACUCAACACUGAUGUAAACAGUAAUGACACUCCCAGUACUGCUAAACACUCAACCCUGAUGUAAACAGUAAUGACAAUAUCAGUACUGCUAAACACUCAACCUUGAAUAAAACAGUCAUGACACUCUCAGUAUUGCUAAACACUUGACUCUGAUGUAAACAGUAAUGACACUCCCAGUACUGCUAAACACCCAACUCUGAUGUAAACAGUCAUGACACUCCCAGUACUGCUAAACUCUCAACUUUGAUGUAAACAGUAAUGGCACUCCCAGUACUGCUAAACUCUCAACUCUGAUGUCAACAGUAAUGACACUCCCAGUACUGCUAAACUCCCAACUCUGAUGUAAACAGUCAUGACACUCCCAGUACUGCUAAACACUCAACUUUGAUGUAAACAGUCAUGUCACUCCAAGUACUGCUAAACACUUAACUCUGAUGUAAACAGUCAUGUCACUCCCAAUCCUGCUAAACACUCAACUCUGAUGUAAACAGUAAUGGCACUCCCAGUGCUGCUAAACACUCAACUCUGAUGUAAACUGUCAUUACACUCCCAGCACUGCUAAACACUCAACUCUGAUGUAAAUAGUAAUUACACUCCCAGUACUGCUAAACACUCAACUCUGAUGUAAAAAGUAAUGGCACUCCCAGUACUGCUAAACACUUAACUCUGAUGUAAACUGUCAAGUCACUUCAAGUACUGCUAAACACUCAACGCUGAUGUAAACAGUAAUGACCCUCCCAGUGCUAC